rnacentral:rRNA from 1 species
GACGAACGCUGGCGGCGUGCUUAACACAUGCAAGUCGAACGGGAUCCGGGCUUUCGGGUUUGGUGAGAGUGGCGAACGGGUGAGUAACACGUGAGUAACCUGCCCCCUUCUUUGGGAUAACGUCGGGAAAUCGGCGCUAAUACUGGAUAUUCUUGCUGCAUCGCAUGGUGUGGUUUGGAAAGGGUUUCUGGUGGGGGAUGGGCUCGCGGCCUAUCAGCUUGUUGGUGGGGUGAUGGCCUACCAAGGCUUUGACGGGUAGCCGGCCUGAGAGGGUGUCCGGCCACACUGGGCCUGAGACACGGCCCAGACUCAUACGGGAGGCAGCAGUGGGGAAUAUUGCACGAUGGGCGCAAGCCUGAUGCAGCGACGCCGCGUGAGGGAUGACGGCCUUCGGGUUGUAAACCUCUUUCAGUAUGGAACAAGGAUCCUUCUUUUGGGGGGUUUGAGGGUACGUGCAGAAGAAGCGCCGGCUAACUACGUG